rnacentral:rRNA from 1 species
AUUGAACGCUGGCGGCAUGCCUUACACAUGCAAGUCGAACGGUAACAGGGAGCUUGCUCCGCUGACGAGUGGCGAACGGGUGAGUAAUGUAUCGGAACGUACCAUUCGGUGGGGGAUAACGUAGCGAAAGUUACGCUAAUACCGCAUAUUCUGUGAGCAGGAAAGCAGGGGAUCGCAAGACCUUGCGCUGAUUGAGCGGCCGAUAUCAGAUUAGCUAGUUGGUGAGGUAAAGGCUCACCAAGGCGACGAUCUGUAGCGGGUCUGAGAGGAUGAUCCGCCACACUGGAACUGAGACACGGUCCAGACUCCUACGGGAGGCAGCAGUGGGGAAUUUUGGACAAUGGGGGCAACCCUGAUCCAGCCAUGCCGCGUGAGUGAGAAGGCCUCGGUUCGUAAGACUCUUUCGGUCCGGAAAAGUACGCGACUCAGUUAAUACUACGGUGUGGAGUGAUGGUACCGGAAUAAGAAGACACCGGCUAACUACGUGCC